AUAAUUAACUCACCGACUUAUUCCAGCGAUGAUUGAUACAAUUCAAAGACCAAUUCCAGAUAUGAGCCUUUUUCAACCUUCCACUGAUGUCUCCCUGCUUUGAAGACUUAUCGAGUCUCAAAACAAAUUAUUUCAGUUCCUACUCCAUAUUCUUCUUUACAAAAUGUUGGCGUCCAUUCCUGUAGCCUCCCAGCUGGAUGUUUUGCCUUUAGGCAAAGUACCUUAAUUACUUAUUAAUGUAAUAACAACCUGACCUGAACUGAUCCUGAACUGCUGAGGUCCACAACCUGGCUCACCCACCCAGACUGGCACCCCUCCAGCUUCACCUGCAGAUCGUGCCUGCCCUGCUCCAGCUCCUGUGGGCAAAACAUAACAGAUGGGCACAAUUAAUGCGUGCCAAUGGGGGUCUCUUUGGUCUGUGAUUAGGAGACUGAUACCACUGCUCGAUCAUUUUAAUCCAUGAAAUGAAUAAAUUAGAAAAUCUAAUAGUA